GGGCCUGUAGCUCAAUUGGUUAGAGCCGGCGGCUCAUAACCGCUUGGUUGGGGGUUCGAGUCCCUCCGGGCCCACCA
rnacentral:tRNA from 424 species